rnacentral:rRNA from 1 species
GAUGAACGCUAGCGGCAGGCUUAACACAUGCAAGUCGAGGGGCAGCACGGUAGCAAUACUGGUGGCGACCGGCAAACGGGUGCGGAACACGUACGCAAUUUACCCUUAUCUGGGGGAUAGCCCGGAGAAAUCCGGAUUAAUACCCCAUAAUAUAUAUGGAUGGCAUCAUCUGCAUAUUAAAGCUCAGGCGGAUAAGGAUGAGCGUGCGUCCCAUUAGCUAGUUGGUAGGGUAAAGGCCUACCAAGGCGACGAUGGGUAGCUGGUGUGAGAGCACGACCAGCCACACGGGCACUGAGACACGGGCCCGACUCCUACGGGAGGCAGCAGUGAGGAAUAUUGGUCAAUGGACGCAAGUCUGAACCAGCCAUGCCGCGUGGAGGAUGAAGGCCUUCUGGGUUGUAAACUUCUUUUAUCGGGGAAGAAAAUUAUGGUUUCUACUAUAACCGACGGUACCCGAGGAAUCAGCACCGGCUAACUCCGUGCCAGCCGCCGCAGUAACAC